GUCGGGUAAGAUGCCACUAGAUUUUCUCUUAAGGGAAAAAUGGCAGUUGUACUUUACACUUAAUUUGGGUAGGUUAAAAAUUAAUCAGAAAGACUUUCAGGUGGAGGUUCUGGCUGAUUUCCAAUCACUCUCUCAUCCAUCUUAUCACAAUAUUGACUACAUAAUAUCUUACACGGAAAGUGACAAGUGUUACAUUUAUACAGAUGGUUCCAAACCAAAUGAUGGUGUGGGGUCGGUUUUUUGCAUUAUCUGAGGUAGGAAGGUUUUUACAGUGUUCGGAUUUUAAAGUUAAUCCCAACUGUACUAUUGUUCAGGCAGAAUUACAUGCAGUCUUAGACGCUUUGAAAUUUAUAGAAGCAGAAAAUGUAC
rnacentral:lncRNA from 1 species